rnacentral:pre_miRNA from 1 species
GUUGAGAGGAAUGUUGUCUGGCUCGAGGUCAUGGAGGAGGAGGAGAGUACUGAGAUGAGUGAAAGUUUCCAAUGGAAAUUUACCCUCUUAACACAAAAAAAAAAUUGAUUCUCGGACCAGGCUUCAUUCCCCACACC